rnacentral:rRNA from 1 species
UACAGAGGGUGCGAACGUUGUUCGGAAUUACUGGGCGUAAAGCGCGUGUAGGCGGCUUGGCAAGUCGGGUGUGAAAGCCCUGGGCUCAACCUAGGAAGUGCACUCGAAACUGCCGAGCUGGAGUUCUGGAGAGGAAGGCGGAAUUCUCGGUGUAGAGGUGAAAUUCGUAGAUAUCGAGAGGAACACCGGUGGCGAAGGCGGCCUUCUGGACAGUGACUGACGCUGAGACGCGAAAGCGUGGGGAGCAAACAGG